CAUUAGUUAGAAUCAUCGAGUAGGUUCGUGUUAAUGAUUGGACCUAACUAAAACUUUCAGUGGAGGCCCAUCACCUAUUGAAAUAAAAUCUAGGGUGAAAUUAAUUAUUAAAAAUUAUUUGGAGAAAUAAUUGGUUGAAAACCUACCCAUAGAUGUAUAUGGGUUGGUCGAGCUAUACUCGGGUCUGUAUGCAGUCUGUGCGGAUUCUAGUACCCACUAAGGA
rnacentral:lncRNA from 1 species